ACACGUGGCUCCAGGAGUAUGUGGACAGUGACGCAAUGUCCAUACACCACCACAAUGACAACAAAGACAUCAAUAUGUGAUUGAAAGGCUGAAAAACGUGGAUGUGUUGUCCCAGCACCAAAGGCUGUCCAGUGGCUUCGGACUGCUUUGGGUGGACCUGCGGCACAGGUGCUGGGCUCCCCUAAAGGACUGGUUAUCCCUGGUCUUUUGUUCAAGCACUUUAUUAAAUG